AGGUCAAGGUGGUAGCACCACUUGUGACUUAGCUACUGGACUAGGUUUCCAUUCUUAUCAAUGCCUAACCCAUAAUUAGUGGUCAUAAGUGGGAAUGGAAACCUAGACCGGUAGCUGAGACUGUAUUCCUACCCCAUAAUUAGUAGUCAUCAGUGGGAAACCUAGUCCAGUAGCUGAGGCUCAAGUGGUACUACUACCAUGACUUUAAUCCCCUUAUUAAAACUACCCCAUAAUUAGUAGUCAUCAGUGGGAAACCUAGUCCAGUAGCUGAGGCUCAAGUGGUACUACUACCAUGACUU
rnacentral:pre_miRNA from 1 species